rnacentral:pre_miRNA from 1 species
UUAACUAAAAUUUGUAGGGAGUUGGAACGUUCACCUACGAUUGCCUGUUAGCGGCGUUGUUAGAUCUGCAUACAAAUUUGAGUUA